rnacentral:rRNA from 1 species
AGGACUAACGCUGGCGGCGUGCCUAACACAUGCAAGUCGAACGAAGUAGCAAUACUUAGUGGCAGACGGGUGAGUAACACGUAGUCAACCUGCCCUUCAAUGGGGGAUAACUAGCCGAAAGGUUAGCUAAUACCGCAUACGAUCUCUGAGUGGCAUCACUCGGCGAUGAAAGGAGUAAUCCGUUGAAGGAGGGGACUGCGUCCCAUUAGUUAGUUGGUGGGGUAAUGGCCUACCAAGACUCCGAUGGGUAGCUGGCUUGAGAGAGCGACCAGCCACACUGGAACUGAGACACGGUCCAGACUCCUACGGGAGGCAGCAGUGAGGAAUUUUCCGCAAUGGGGGAAACCCUGACGGAGCGACGCCGCGUGUGGGAAGAAGGCCUUCGGGUCGUAAACCACUGUCGAGGGGGACGAUAUUGACGGUACCCUGGAGGAAGCCCCGGCUAACUACGUGCCAGCAGCCGC